CGAAAGUUCAAUUGCCGAUUUCGACGACGAAACCAUCCAAUUUUCGGCCGACCGAUUGCAGGUGCGUUUUGGCACCAUGAUGGAAUGUGGAAAUGCAGGAGAUAAGGAUAGAGUGCAUCGUGUCUUGCCGGGUCAAGAUUGAGCCCAACUUCGGCCCGAAAUGGGCGAAAAUCGGACGAAAUGCAACAUGAGAAGAAGCUCUUCAGUCAGCCCUGCAGUGAAGCAGAGCAGCUCGCAAGCAAGUCGGACCAGUCGACGGAAAAGUAGGGAAAAGCGUGAAAUGGGCCGCUGUGCGUAAAAUCAAAAGGAGAAUUUUUGUGACGUGCGAAUCUGAUUUGCUCGUCGCCGCGCGCCAAAGAGAUGAGAUGAGCGUCAAUUUGCUAAUCGAGAGAAAAGCGGCGAAACAGACAACACGGAAAACAACCUAAUGGCCAUC